AGGAAGUGGUAUAGGGGGAAUACGGAGGGUUUUGAUCUCUCAGUCACAGGUUCAAUUCCUGUUUUUCUAG
rnacentral:tRNA from 1 species